CUCCAGACUCCUGACAGUAAGCCUGCUCAGUCCGCCUUAAAGACAGAACUUCUUGGCAGCUGGGUGUGGAGGGGGAUGUGUUACACCAGGUGUCUUCUGAAUCCUCCAGAAAAUGCAGACUCACCAUGCGGAGUCUGAUUAUAAGCUCCAUGAACAUAGAGAUGCUUCCCAUCUUAAACCCUGCUAAAACUCCAGCGAUUGGCAGCCCUCCUGGCAUGCAUGGGGUAUUCAGUAAUUACUUGUUGAACGAAUGAAAGAAAGUCCCAUCUGUUUUAAGAUACUUCUUGAACACCUACUAUGGCAGUCAUUCUACUGCAUGUCAAGGUCCUCAGGGGGAUCCACCUGCAUAGUUUAAGAGCACAGGUAGAGAAGACUAAGGCACAGCCCCUACCCUGAAUGAAUCCACAGCAUUGCACUUCAGACAAAAUCAAUCACCAGAAGAUAUGGUAAAUUUGCCAGCUCCUGAGAAAAAUCCCUAUAACUGUGUUCUGUCCCCGUUGGG